rnacentral:rRNA from 1 species
GUACGGGUGAGUAACACGUGGAUAAUCCACCUCUUAGUGGGGAAUAACUUUGGGAAACCGAAGCUAAUACCGCAUAAGCCUGAGAAGGGAAAGCAGCAAUGCGCUGAGAGAGGAGUCCGCGGCCGAUUAGCUAGUUGGUAGGGUAAAAGCCUACCAAGACUGUGAUCGAUAGCCGGCCUGAGAGGGCACACGGCACACUGGCAACUGAAACACGGGCCAGACUCCUACGGGAGGCAGCAGUGGGGAAUCUUGCACAAUGGAGGAAACUCUGAUGCAGCGACGCCGCGUGAGCGAUGAAGCCCUUCGGGGUGUAAAGCUCUUUCGGCAGGGAAGAUAAUGACGGUACCUGCAGAAGCAGAUGCGGUAACUACGUGCCAGCAGACGCGGUAAUACGUAAGCAGCAAGCGUUGUUCAGGAGUUACUGGGCGUAAAGGGUGCGUAAGCGGAUUUUUAAAGUAAGGAUGUGAAAUCUCCCGGAUCAAUG